rnacentral:rRNA from 1 species
CAGCAGCCACGGUAAUACGUAGGUGGCAAGCGUUGUCCGGAAUUAUUGGGCGUAAAGGGCUCGCAGGCGGUUUCUUAAGUCUGAUGUGAAAGCCCCCGGCCCAACCGGGGAGGGUCAUUGGAAACUGGGAGACUUGAGUGCAGAAGAGGAGAGUGGAAUUCCACGUGUAGCGGUGGAAUGCGUAGAGAUGUGGAGGAACACCAGUGGCGAAGGCGACUCUCUGGUCUGUAACUGACGCUCAUGCACGAAAGCGUGGGGAGCAAACAGGAUUAGAGACCCCAGUAGUCCCUGUCUCUUAUAC